rnacentral:rRNA from 1 species
UACGUAGGGGGCAAGCGUUGUCCGGAAUCAUUGGGCGUAAAGAGCGUGUAGGCGGUUCAGUAAGUCUGCUGUGAAAGUCCAAGGCUCAACCUUGGGAUGCCGGUGGAUACUGCUGAGCUAGAGUACGGAAGAGGCGAGUGGAAUUCCCGGUGUAGCGGCGAAAUGCGCAGAUAUCGGGAGGAACACCUAUUGCGAAGGCAGCUCGCUGGGACGUCACUGACGCUGAGACGCGAAAGCGUGGGGAGCAAACAGG